rnacentral:rRNA from 1 species
GACGGUUCAUUCAAAUUUCUGCCCUAUCAACUUUCGAUGGUAAGGUAUUGGCUUACCAUGGUUUCAACGGGUAACGGGGAGUUUAGGGUUCGAUUCCGGAGAGGGAGCCUGAGAAACGGCUACCACAUCCAAGGAAGGCAGCAGGCGCGCAAAUUACCCAAUCCCGACACGGGGAGGUAGUGACAAUAAAUACUGAUACAGGGCUCUUUUGGGUCUUGUAAUUGGAAUGAGUACAAUUUAAACCCCUUAACGAGGAACAAUUGGAGGGCAAGUCUGGUGCCAGCAGCCGCGGUAAUUCCAGCUCCAAUAGCGUAUAUUAAAGUUGUUGCAGUUAAAAAGCUCGUAGUUGAACUUCAGGCCUGGCUGGAUGGUCUACCUAACGGUAUGUACUGUCUGGCUGGGUCUUACCUCUUGGUGAGCCGGCAUGCCCUUUACUGGGUGUGUUGGGGAACCAGGACUUUUACCUUGAGAAAAUUAGAGUGUUCAAAGCAGGCCUAUGCCCGAAUACAUUAGCAUGGAAUAAUAAAAUAGGACGUGCGGUUCUAUUGU